rnacentral:rRNA from 1 species
AGGGAAUCUUCCACAAUGGACGCAAGUCUGAUGGAGCAACGCCGCGUGAGUGAAGAAGGUUUUCGGACCGUAAAGCUCUGUUGUUGGUGAAGAAGGAUAGAGGUAGUAACUGGCCUUUAUUUGACGGUAAUCAACCAGAAAGUCACGGCUAACUACGUGCCAGCAGCCGCGGUAAUACGUAGGUGGCAAGCGUUGUCCGGAUUUAUUGGGCGUAAAGCGAGCGCAGGCGGAAGAAUAAGUCUGAUGUGAAAGCCCUCGGCUUAACCGAGGAAUUGCAUC